GCAGCCGUGGCCGAGUGGUUAAGGCGAUGGACUAGAAAUUCAUUGGGGUCUCCCCGCACAGGUUCGAAUCCUGUCGACUACG
rnacentral:tRNA from 1 species